ensembl:lncRNA
CCCAUGUUCAGUGACUGUAAUCUGUGACGCAAGUGGCCUAAUAUGUUUGUGACGUUCCAUGGAACCCACGGUAUUGUUUAAAACUAGAUUCUGAUUGGCUUGCAGGUCAUUCUACAGUGUAAAUUAUAAAUGAAAACGUGCUCUUAUAUCAGUGUUACAGAUUCACAUUACCGAGCGUGUCUCAACCUUUACCGCACUUUUAUCUGCCUAAAGGUAUCUUCACGCACGACUGGAUAGGCCUUUUGGAUACGCUUGUCCAAGGCCCAAGACAUAAAGUCUCCUGAAAGCUGUGUAGCAAUCAUUCCAUUGCUGACCCAUAGGAUGGUAAUCACAUACAUGAUUGGCUUCAUCUAGAAUCAUGGAUACCUUUCAUACCUUCUCAUCACAAGUUGGAACUAGUGGUCAACAUUGGGACAAUGCAGCCAUAAAUAACAUGGACCAAUAUUUUCAUGGAGUGAGCAAGACCUGCCAGCAGAGCUCACUGGAGCAGGGAGACAUGCCAUCAUCCUUUUGGCGCCUGACAAAGCUUGAGAUUCAGAUUUUGCUGAACGAUGUUAAGCAUUCAAUUAACCACAUGCAGGGGACGCUGAACACCAUGCAGGGGCAGUGUAUUGAGUUGCAGACUGCCAUGUCUAAGGUAGUGUCAGAUGAGUCUCAGAUACAGAAGAAUAAGUCUAUGAUGGUAUGGUGAUAAUGAUUGAGAUGGUGAUUAUAAUAAUGAUGACUAGCGGUACCCCACCCUACGGGCUGUAAAUCAUUGGAUCUGAUUAAUUCAAUUCAAUGCAAUUCAAUCUUUGAGGAUUGCAACCAUAGAAAUACAAUUUCUUUACACUAAUAAUAAGCUAUUGUCAACUUCCCGUCUAUGCUUAUCUUGCUCAUUGCUCACUGUCAAUUGCUGACUGUUACCCUAUGAGUGCAACUAUUAUUGAUUUCUCACAGAAAAAUAAUUUGGUUGCAAAUGUACCUGGGGCCAUGUAAAUAAUUGUUAGGCUACUCAUUUUGAAUCCACCGGUGGCAACUUGUGUGACCAUAAAAGUCUGUGUGCGACUGGGCACAGUAAAAUAAUUUGGUUACUGACCUGCCCUACAUCAUAGAAAGCACUUCAAGUUGAACUAGGAAAUUCUGACAUUUCUGACUCACUAACUCGUUAUGGAAU